AGUGAACGCUGGCGGUAGGCCUAACACAUGCAAGUCGAACGGCAGCACAGUAAGAGCUUGCUCUUACGGGUGGCGAGUGGCGGACGGGUGAGGAAUACAUCGGAAUCUACUUUUUCGUGGGGGAUAACGUAGGGAAACUUACGCUAAUACCGCAUACGACCUACGGGUGAAAGCAGUGGAUCUUCGGACCUUGCGCGAUUGAAUGAGCCGAUGUCGGAUUAGCUAGUUGGCGGGGUAAAGGCCCACCAAGGCGACGAUCCGUAGCUGGUCUGAGAGGAUGAUCGGCCACACUGGAAGUUAGACACGGUCAAGAGUCCUGAGGGAGGCAGCAGUGGGGAAUAUUGGACAGUGGGGGCAAGCCUGAUCCAGUCAUACCGAGUGGGUGAAGAAGGCCUUCGGGUUGUAAAGCCCUUUUGUUGGGAAAGAAAAGCAGCAGGUUAAUACCACGCUGUUCUGACGGUAACCAAAGAAUAAGCACCGGCUAACUUCGUG
rnacentral:rRNA from 1 species